rnacentral:rRNA from 1 species
ACUCCUACGGGAGGCAGCAGUGGGGAAUAUUGCACAAUGGGGGAAACCCUGAUGCAGCCAUGCCGCGUGUGUGAAGAAGGCCUUGGGUUGUAAAGCACUUUCAGUAGGGAGGAAGGUAGUGUAGUUAACACCUGCAUUAUUUGACGUUACCUACAGAAGAAGCACCGGCUAACUCCGUGCCAGCAGCCGCGGUAAUACGGAGGGUGCGAGCGUUAAUCGGAAUUACUGGGCGUAAAGCGCAUGCAGGCGGCCUGUUAAGUCAGAUGUGAAAGCCCGGGGCUUAACCUCGGAAUUGCAUUUGAAACUGGCAGGCUAGAGUCUUGUAGAGGGGUUAGAAUUUCAGGUGUAGCGGUGAAAUGCGUAGAGAUCGUGAAGGAAUACCGAGUGGCGAAGGCGGCCCCUGGACAAAGACUGACGCUCAGAUGCGAAAGCGUGGGAGCAAACGAGGAUUAGAUA